GAGGGGAAAGAGGGAAGGAGAUUCCUGAUUCCUGCCUUGUGCAGGUGGCGCCCGCAGCUUGAGGAAACAGCAGCCUCCACCCCCUCAGCCCGGCGAUUGGCUGGUUUUUCUCAUUUUCCGGCGAGGAAGCGGAAAGGACAAGCGACAUCCCGGAGCUCAAUUGCACAAGUGGCCACCACCUCCGAUGCACAAGGGCGCUCAUCUGAAAAGAAAGCUUAGCCCCAGAGAAGUGGUGUGGAGCGCCGCGGGUAGUGCGGGUGUGAACAGCACGCGAGGGCACCGGGUCUCACAGAGAUGAUGAACUCUGUUUGAACCGAUCUCUCAUUAAGAGUUCUUAAGGUAAGAUUAAAAUCUUUACACUUCUCCA